rnacentral:rRNA from 1 species
CCUACGGGCGGCAGCAGUGGGGAAUAUUGGUCAAUGGCCGAGAGGCUGAACCAGCCAAGUCGCGUGAGGGAAGACGGCCCUACGGGUUGUAAACCUCUUUUGUCGGGGAGCAAAGAGAGUCACGUGUGACUCCUUGAGAGUACCCGAAGAAAAAGCAUCGGCUAACUCCGUGCCAGCAGCCGGGGUAAUACGGAGGAUGCGAGGGUUAUCGGGAUUGAUUGGGGUUAAAGGGUACGCAGGGGGAGGUGCAAGUCAGCGGUCAAAUUGCGGGGUUCAACCCGGAACUGCCGUUGAAACUGAAACGCUUGAGUGCGGGAGAGGUAUGCGGAAUGCGUGGUGUAGCGGUGAAAUGCAUAGAGAUCACGCAGAACUCCGAUUGCGAAGGCAGCAUACCGGCGCGCAACUGACGCUCAUGCACGAAAGCGUGGGUAGCGAACAGGAUUAGAUACCCUAGUAGUC